rnacentral:sRNA from 1 species
GCUGGGCGUGGUGGUGGGCGCCUGUAAUCCCAGCUACUAGGGAGGCUGAGGCAGGAGAAUCGCUUGAACCCAGGAGGCAGAGGUUGCAGUGAGCCGAGAUCGCACCACUGCACUCCAGCCUGGGCAACAGAGCGAGACUCUGUCUCAA